GGCACGCAGGUCCCGCCUCCUGAGGACGGGUGAGUUCGCUGCUACCUGAGAUAGUGGUCGGGAGAGUUUGAGGGUUUGCGAAAGAGUUUACUGAUCGAUCCGAAUAAAAGUGAAAUGUGUGGUCGGGCGCGGUGGCCCACGCCUGUAAUCCCAGCACUGUGUGAGGCGGGGGCGAGCGGAUCACCUGGGGUCAGGAGUUCGAGACCAGCCUGGCCAACAUGGCGAAACCCCGUCUCAAUUAAAAAUACAAACAUUAGCCGGGCAUGGUGGCGGGCGCCUGUAAUCCCAGCUACUCGCCUGUAAUCCCAGCUGAGGAAGGAAAAUCGCUAGAACCCGGGAGGCGGAGGCUGCAGUGAGCCGAGAUCUUGCCAUUGCACUCCAGCCUGGGCGACAAGAGCGAAACUCCGUCUCAAAAAAAGAAAGAAAAUAAAAAGUGAAAUGUGGAUGUAACAACGCACUUUUAAAAAAAGUCUAAACAUCUGAGGAAUGUGUCUGUGCUUGCAGUGUCCAGCCAGCACAGAGACUGCACUCAAGGGAUGUGGGAACGGCUGAUUGAACGUGAACUGCGGUCAUUAAAUCUUUUAUGUCUGUGUUAAUAUCUACAAAUAAGCCUUAAUUUCUGUAGUUUCUGCAUAUCUCACACGGUUCCUGGCAAAUUGAAGAGUGUUUCAUGAAUUCAGGACUUUAUUGUGUUUGCUGUGAAUCAGUUUGUUUUGUACUGACGAUGAUGUUGGCUAACUCCCUUGUAACUAGUACUUAUUUGAAAUAAUGUCCUCGGGAUUAUUUUAAGCAAUGUUUAAGUAUGAAAUCAUUUCAUUCUCCUAACAUCUCAAGGAAUAUACUAUUAUAUUCUACUUUACAAAAGGGGAAACUGAGGAACGGGGAAGUUAAGUGGAAGCUAAGUGGAAGAAUCCAGAUAAUUGACCUCUCCUUCUAUUGGUAUGCAAUUGCUAGAGCAAUGAUAGUCCUCCGGUAGAGCCUUAGACAUUGUGUUUAUUGCAUUCCUGUUCCACCCACUGCAUUCCGGAUACUCCAACUUACUUCCAACACACAUAUGCAGGCGUCUCUAAAAUUCCGGAGAUAUGGUCACCAAUUAUUUUUAUGUGCGACAUGCUCAAAUCUUAAUAUAGUAAACGCUUGUAUAUUCAUAAACCAGCUUAAUAAAUGAAACAUUACCAUUCCUGUUGAAGAGCUUUGUGUAACCACCUUCCCAAUCACGACUACUCUCUGACUCUGAGAUAACUGCUCUUCUGAACUUGGUAUUCAUCGUUGCAAUGUAUGUCUUUAUAUUUCUGCUACAUAUUAUGUGUGGAUAUUUCAAGUGGCGUGAACUCACAGAAGAAUAUUGUAUCUUGGACAAUGUUACCAUAACCUUUUCAAACGUAUUUGCAAACUUGACAAACUUGGUGUAAGCUUUUUCACUUUUGAAAACGUUUUGAACUUGUGGAAGAAUUUCUAUGGGGAAAGAGAGAAAUAUACUUUGGAAUUCAACUAUUGCUAUCACAGUGUUGGGAAAUUCACUGACACCAGUUUGUAACUUGAAUCUACAGGAAGAAAUGAAGAGAGCCAAAAAUGACAACAAAUGGAUUAACCCAACGAACUCCAUAAAUAUUUAUUUUUUCCCCUUUCUUUUCUCAGCUUCUUUAAAAGAUGUAAGAUGAUAUAAAGUAAUAAUAAUAACAAUGUACUGUUGGAUAUGUAAGAUAUAUAAAUGUAAUAAUGGCAAAAAUGGUGGGAGGGCGUCAGGCGUCAUGGCUCAUGCCUGUAAUCUCAGAACUUUGGGAGGCUGAGGCAGGCAGAACACUUGAGCCCAGGAGUUCAAGACCAGCCUAAGCAACAUGGGGAGACCCUGUCUUUCCAAAAAUACAAAAAUUAGCCCAACAUGGUGGCGUACACCAGUAGUCUCAGCUACUUGGGAGGUGGGAGGAUUGCUUGAGCCUAGGAGGUUGAGGCUGCAGUGAGCCAUGAUUGUGCCACUGCACUCCAACCUGGGUGACAGAGUGAGAUCUUGUCUUUAAAAAAAAAAUGGUGGGAGAGAAUGGAGCCAUAUAGAAUACAGUUUCUAUAUUUCACUGGAAUGAAGUUAGUAUAAAUCUAAAGUAGAUUCUGAUAAGAUGAAUACCAUAAGCUUUAGGGCAACUAUUAACUAAAGAAAUACAAUUAGAGAUUAUUAACACAAUUACAUGUUACACUAGAAAAUAUCCACUCAAUAUAAAAGGAAACAGGAAAGGAAGAAUACAGGAACAAUAAUAAAGAAACCUGUAGAAAACAAAAGGCAAAUGACAGACAUAAAUCCUACCAUAUCAAUAGCAAAAUUAAAUGUGAAUGCAUAAACAAUUGAAUCAAAAUGCAGAUAUUGUCAAACUGGAUUUUUAAAAGAUCAAAAUAUAUGUUAUCUGUAGAAGACACACAUUACAUUCAAAGAUACAAAUAUAUUCUAAGUAAAAGGGUGAAAAAAUAUAUAUCAGGCAAGUGGCCAAAAUAAGAAUGCUGGAAUUGCUAUACUAAUACCAGAAAAACAUAGAUUUUAAAAUGAAAAAUAUUAUUAGCUAUAAAGAGGAACAUUUUAUAAUUAAAGAAGAUCACUCCAUCAGGAAACACAAAAAUUGUAAACAUAUAUGCACAUAAUAAGACAGUACCAAAAUACAUGAAGACCACUAACAGAAUAGAAGGAUGAAAUAGAUAAUUCAAUAUUAGUUGAGGACGUCAAUAUACCACCGUUAGGGCUAGGCAUGGUAGCUCACACCUGUAAUCCCAGAGAUGUGAAAGGCCGAGAUGGGAGGGUUGCUUGAGGUCAGGAUUUGGAGACCAACCUGGGCAAUAUAGUGUCAUCUCAUCUCUUAAAAAAAAAAAAAAAGCCAGGUGUGGUGGUGUGUACCUGUAGUCCUAGCUAGUAGGAAGGCUGAGGCAGGAAGAUUACUUGAGCCCAGGAGUUCAAGGCUGCCACUACACACCAGCCGGAGUGACAGAAUGUGACCCUGUCUCUAAAUAAAUAAAUAAAAUAAAAAUUAAAAAUACACCGCUGUAAAUAGAUGAUAGAUCAAGUAGGCAGAAGAUUAACAAGGUUAUAAAAGACUUGAACAACACAAUAAAUUAACUAGACCUAGCAAACAUUUAUAGAACGCUCAACCCAACAAUAGCAAAAUAUUCUUCUCAAGUGCAUAUAAAACUUUCUCCAGGAUAGAUCAUAUGCUAGGUCUUUAAAAAAGAUAUUGAAACCCUCAUACAUUGCUGGUGGAAAUGUAAAAUGGUGCAGCCAUUUUGCAGGACAGUUUGAGGGUUCCUCAAAAUGUUAAACAUAGACUUACCCUGACCCAUCAUUUCAACAGCUGGAUGUAUACUCAAGAAAAAUAAAAACCUGUGUCCACACAAAAACAUAUACAAAGAUGUUCAUGGAAGUGUAUUUAUAAUACCAAAAAGUGGAAAUAACCCAAGUGUCAAUCUACUGAUGAAUAAACAAAAUCUAUCAAUGAAAUAUUAUUCAGCCAUAAAAAGAAAAUAAAGUGUUGAUAUAAGUGACAGCAUGGAUGACUCAUGAAAGCAUUAUGCAAAGUAAAAGAAGUCACUCACUGAAGAACAUGCUAUAUGAUUCCAUGUAUAUGAAAUGCCCAGAAUAAGCAAAUUUCUAGAGACAAAAAGUAGAUGAGUGGUUGUCUAGGGCUGAGAAGGUUCCUGAGAAUGGGGAAUGAGUGUAAUGUUUUUCUUUAGGAGGAGGAUAAAAAUCUUCUAAAAUUGGAUUAUGGUAGUGGUUGCACAGCUUUGUGGAUAUAGUAAAAACCAUUGAAUUGUAUAUAUUAAAUAAAUAUAAUUAAGGUAUGUGAAUUAUAAUUCAAUAAAACUGUUAAAAUUACAAAUUUUGUGCUUUUCAAUUGGAAAAUUCAUCCAAAAUUACAAAUUCUUAAAAGAAUGCAACCUAGCUAGGAGUGGUGGUGGGCACCUGUAGUCCCAGCAACUUGGGAGGCUGAGGUGGGAGAAUCACCUGAGGCCAGGAGGUCAAGGCUGCUGUGAGCCAUGAUCACAUCACUGCACUCCAGCCUGGGCAUCUGAGUGAGACCCCGGCUCAAAAAAAAAGCAACAUAACAAAACUGACCCAAGGAAAAAAAGAGUAUCUAACAAUCCUAUGUCUGUUCAGAAAACUGUUCGUGUGUGUGUGUGUGUGCGGAUUUUUUUUUUUUUCAUGUAGGGUCUCACUCUGUUGCCCAGGCUGAAGUGCACUGGCUGAUCACAGCUCACUGAAGCCUUGAUCUGAGAUCAAGCAACCCUCCCUCCUCAAUCCCCUGAGUAGCUGGGACUGCAGUGCGUGCCACUACACUUGGUUAAUUUGUUUGUUUGUUUUGUUUUGUUUUUGUAAAGACAAUCUUACUAUGUUCCUCUGGCUGGUCUCAAACUCCUGGGCUCAAGCAAUCCUCCCGCCUCCACCUUCCAAAGUGCUAGGAUUACAGGGAUAAGCCAUAGCACCCAUCCUAAAUGCUUCCUGAUGAAAUAAUAUGCCACUGUCUAUAGUCUUUCUUAAGGAUUAAUCAAGCCUCUGGAUCCAGUUGUGACUUUACAGGAAAUACAGAGGACAGAGGAACGUGCUGAACUGCAUCAUGCUUAUGUAUUCAGCAAAAUCCCUGUUGUGGAAAACUCUACAGGUCAAAUGGCCUGGAUUUAGAAAACUACAGGCCAGAUGAUCUGACAAAUUUAAGGGUAAUAAAGGGAUGAAGGCUGAGCUAUAGAUUAAAAGGAACUUGAAUGUCAUUAUUAAAACUGGGCAAAACUAAAACAUACUGUCUAGGGAGUCAAACUCAGGUGGUGCAUUUAUACAGAAAUUUAAGGAACAGUUAAUUACAAAAGUCAGGAAGUGUCAUGCCUCUUGGAGGAGAGAUUGGGUUAUGAUUGGUUUAGCACACAUAGAGGGACUUCAGGCAAAGUUUUAUUUCUUAACUUUGGUGGAAAUGACAAGGGUGUUUGUCUUACAAUACUGUUAAGCUACAAAUUUGUCUUCUGUGUUUUCUGAAUCUGUGUCUUAUUUUACAAUAUGAUGUUUUUUUAAAUGUGGCCCAGCAUGGUGGCUCACACCUGUAAUCCCAGUGAUUUAGGAGGCCAAAGCAGGAGGAUUGCUUGAGGUUAGAAGUUCAAGACCAACUUGGGCAAUAUAACAAGACUCUGUCCCUACAAAAAAAUUAGCUGGGCAUGCUGGCAAGCACCUGUAGUCCUAACUACUUGGGAGGCUGAGGCAGGAGGAUUACUUGAGCCGAGGAGUUCGAGGGUCCAGUGAGCUAUGAUCAUGCCACUGCACUUCAGCCUGAGUGACAGAGUGAAACCCCAUCUCAAAAAAAAAAAAAGGAAGGAAGGAAAAAAGAAAGAAAAACACACCUAGGAAUAAAUACAACAAAGAAAACAAAAAAAAUUGUUUACAAAAAUUUUAUACAUAAAACUAAAAAACUUUUUUGAGAGAAAUCAGAUCAGACUUAAUUAAAUGGACAGAUACAUCAUGGUCAUUGAUUGAAUAAUUCAAUAUAGUAAGUCAAUAAUCUCCAAACUUCUAUUAAUUCAAUGAAAGAGCAAUCAAAAUUUCUUUAGCUCGUGUGUGUGUGUGUGUGUGUGUGAAUUGACAAGCUAAAUCUAAAAUGUAUACUAAAAUUUUGAGAGAAUAUUAAGACAUUGUGAAAAAGUAGAACAAAUCUGGAGGACAUACACCAUCAAACAGCAAAAUUCAUCAAAGCUAUAAUAAUUUAAACAAUGUGAUAUUGGCACAAGAAUAGAAACAGAGCAAUGAGACAGAAUGGAAGGUUCAGACACUGACCUACACAUAUAUAGUCACUUCAUUUACGAAAAAGCUGACACUACAGUGGAGAAAGGAUAGCUUUUUCAAUAAACGUGAUGUCAAUGUUCUCAUGGAAAAAAUUAAUUCUGAUUCUUCUAUUACCCUGUACACAAAAAUCAAUUCCAGAUAGGUUGUUGAUCUAAACAUGAAAGGUAAAAUAAUAAAGCUUCUAGAAGCACACUCAUAAGACAUUUUAAUAAUCUAGGGGUAGGCAAAUAUUUCUCAAGCAGAAAAUAAAUCUUAACUAUAAUGGAAAAUCUACAUACAUUGCAGUGCAUUUAAAAGAAGAAAUACUGGCCAGGCACAAUGGCUCAUGCCUGUAAUAGUCCCAGAACUUUGGGAUGCUUAGGUUGGCAGAUCACUUGAGUCCAGGGGUUCCAGACCAGCCUGGACAACAUGGUGAAAACCCAUCUCUACAAAAAAUACAAAAAAAAAAAAAUUAGCCAGGCAUGGUGGCAUGCAUCUGUAGUCCCAGCUACUUGGGAGGAUAAGGUGGGGGGAUUGUUUGAGCCCAGAAGGUCAAGGCUGCAGUGAGCCAAGAUCGUGCCAAUGCACUCCAGCCUGGGAGAAAGAGCAAGAUUCUGUCUCAAAAAACAAAAAAGAAGAAGAAAUAUUAAGCAC
rnacentral:lncRNA from 10 species